GCUCCCAUGAUCUUUUCCCUUUCAAAUACCCUCUAACCUUAUAAUCACUAUUUUUUUUUUUGAAACCAGACAAACACAUGACACACAUACAAGAUAGAGAUGAUGAACUCUUCAUCUCCUGCCCUCCCUCAUUUCAACCCUAGACAGCACCCUUUCCUCCGUCCACUCUCCUCUCCGGCGACCGAAGACCGGAGCUCCGGAGACUCCCCCUUGGCCGAUGACACGCACAUCGACGCACGAGAUGAGAGAGAGGGCGGAGACGAAGAGCAACGACGGCAGUGCCGCCGUUGUCUCCGACGAUGUUGGGUUCCGGGUUCGUGUUUUCAUUGUUUUAAAUUUGUUUCCGAUCUGGUUUGAGUUUGGGUUCCAGUCUUGGGUUUGGGUUGGUUUCGGGAUCGGUGAAGAUAAUAAUCGACGAUGACGAUUUCGGUAAUGGUGAUUACCGACGACGACAGUGGCCGACGACGACGACAGUGACGAGAUCAGAUGAAGACGAUGAUGUUUCGAGGGCCGGCGACCGGAGACGCCGCUCACGGCGGCGGUCUUUAUCUCCGACCGACAAACUUCACGAUGAUUGUCUGAUAUUUAUCGGCAUCAAUGGAGAAGUUGUUGACAUGUUGCUUGGCACCUCCACUUCAACCAUCCGUGUGUCGGAUAUGCAAGCAAGAAUGAAUCUAUGUUGCCAUUUGGAUUUAGAUUUCGAUUGGGAAUGCGAUUCAACCAUUUGUGUGUCGGAUAUGUAAUUUUAUUUUCUUUAUGCUCGUAGAUUUUAUACAUUUUUUGUAUGUAAGUUUGUAUAAAUUUAUGAUUAAUGUUAAUGAAUUUUUAUA